AGCUGCCCGAGCCGGAGCGGAACCGCUGUUCUCAGCUGCAGCCAGGAUCUGCCCCCGGCUCCGCUGGGAUCCAGGCCAGAGAAUAACAUCCAUGUUUCGCUGCAGAUCAUCUCGUCCUCCCAGGGACAAGGAAAUGGCUGCAAUGGAGCUGGCUCAGGGGCCGGUGACCUUCGAGGAGGUGUCUGUGUAUUUCUCCAGGGAAGAGGGGACUCUGCUGGACCCCACUCAGAGAGCCCUCUACAGAGAUGUCAUGCAGGGGAACUAUGAGACGAUGGUCUUGCUGGGUAAGGAUUCCUGUCCCUUCUGUUCUUGGAAGGGGAAAUGAAGAGUGAAGGUUCAUGCCACCCCCACAAUG